rnacentral:rRNA from 1 species
UAGAAUUAAUUUACUAUAUUUAUGUUUAAUAAUUUAUAAAAUUUUAUAUAAAUCAUUUAAUUGUUAUUGUAUUUGUUAUGGAUUUAAUUAUUUAGGGUAAUGGUUAUAUAGUACUGUGAUGGAAUAAUAAAAGUUUAAAUAUUAUUAAUUUGUAAGUUGAAUUAAUUUUUUGUACCUUGUGUAUCAGGAUUAAUUAAUAAUAAUUUAUUUAUAUUAAUUUUCUCGAUUUCUUUAGAGUUAAUAAAUUAUAUUAAUUAUUGUUGAAGAAAUAUUAAUAAUAAUUUAUUGGAAAUGAAAUGUUAAUCGUUAAUGAGUAUAUCUAGUUUUUUGGGAAAUAAAUUUAAUUUAGAUUCUUUCUUUAGUAAUUUUCUUUAAAAUAGGUUUUGAGUUAGAAUUAAUAAUAAAUGGGAUAAGCUUUUUAUUAUAAAUUUAUAAAGGAAUUAAUAUUUAAAGUUAUGUGGAUUUAAUAAUUAUUAUUAUUUUAAGUUUGUUAAAAUAUUACUUUUUUAAGUAAUGAUUUUUUUUUCUUUUAAAGUUUUACUAAAAAUUUUUAAUUAAUUUUUUUUUGUUAAUUGAAAUUAUGAUUAAAUUAGUAUAAUUAUUUUGUAAAGUUUUUUGAGUGUAAAGUUAUAUUGAGGAACUAGGCAAUAUUAAUUAUUCGCCUGUUUAACAAAAACAUCUCUUCUUGUUUAUUUAAGAAGUAUGACCUGCCCAAUGAUAAAUUUAAUGGCCGCAGUAUAUUGACUGUGCAAAGGUAGCAUAAUCAUUAGUCUUUUAAUUGAAGGCUGGAAUGAAUGGUUAAACGAGAUAAUAACUAUCUUAAUUUUAUUUAUUUUGAAUUUAAUUUUUAAGUUAAAAAGCUUAAAUUAUUUUUUGGGACGAGAAGACCCUAUAGAGUUUAAUAUUUAUUUAUAUAUUUAUAAUGGUUUGUAAAUAAGUGAAUAUUUAUAAGUAUUUCGUUGGGGUGAUGGGAAAAUAAAAAUAACUCUUUUUAAUAUUUGAUUAUAAAUUUAUAUAUUAAUGAUCCAUUAUUAAUGAUUAAAAGACUAAAUUACCUUAGGGAUAACAGCGUUAUUUUUUUUGAGAGUUCAUAUCGACAAAAAAGAUUGCGACCUCGAUGUUGGAUUAGGAUUAUCUUUAGGUGAAGAAGCUUAAAAAUUAGGUCUGUUCGACCUUUAAAAUCUUACAUGAUCUGAGUUCAAACCGGCGUGAGCCAGGUUGGUUUCUAUCUAAUAGAAAUUAAAAUAUUUUAGUACGAAAGGACCAAAUAUUUGAAAUAAUUUUUAAUUUUUGAAUAUUAUUAA